CCAGACUUUAAAGGCAUUGCAGCUGUUCUGACACAUGUGUGUCAGUAGGUGUCAAAGAGGAGAAACACUAUGCCUAUACUCAGUAUUCUUACCUAAGAACAUCUAAAUGAUUAAUAGCCUAGCAUU
ensembl:snoRNA Gm22158 predicted gene, 22158